UACGAAGGGUGCGAGCGUUAAUCGGAAUUACUGGGCGUAAAGCGCGCGCAGGCGGUCCUUUAAGUCUGAUGUGAAAGCCCACGGCUCAACCGUGGAGGGUCAUUGGAAACUGGGGGACUUGAGUGCAGAAGAGGAAAGCGGAAUUCCACGUGUAGCGGUGAAAUGCGUAGAGAUGUGGAGGAACACCAGUGGCGAAGGCGGCUUUCUGGUCUGUAACUGACGCUGAGGCGCGAAAGCGUGGGGAGCAAACAGG
rnacentral:rRNA from 1 species